rnacentral:lncRNA from 1 species
CGCCACAAUGCUUCAAAUCAGACGCAACAAGAAUUUUUCUUCAUUCAUUUCUAGCAAAGAUGCUGCUCUUGCAGUGCAG